AUACGAAGGGUGCAAGCGUUGUUCGGAUUUACUGGGCGUAAAGCGUCCGUAGGUGGUUUGUUAAGUCAGGGGUGAAAUCCCGGGGCCUAACCCCGGAACUGCCUUUGAUACUGGCAGGCUGGAGCGCGAUAGAGGAAGAUGGAAUAUCUGGUGUAGGGGUGAAAUCCGUAGAUAUCAGAUAGAACACCAAUGGCGAAGGCAGUCUUCUGGAUCGUUGCUGACACUGAGGGACGAAAGCGUGGGUAGCAAACAGAAUUAGAUACUCUGGUAGUCCACGCCCUAAACGAUGCAUGCUUGUUGUUGGUUUCCUUCGGGGAAUCAGUGACGAAGCUAACGCGUUAAGCAUGCCGCCUGGGGACUACGAUCGCAAGAUUAAAACUUAAAGGAAUUGGCGGGG
rnacentral:rRNA from 1 species